AUGGUGACAGUGACUUCAGAGACACCAUCUGCCUCCACGCUGUAUGGCCUGGUCUCCUCCUGUGAGGAGCACAACACCGAUUCUACAAUCUUUGGUUGUUUGGUGAUGGACUAUUCCCCUGACGUCACUAAGGUAACCUGGAAGAAAGGCGUGGAGCUAAUCACGGAUGGAUUGAAGACGUACCCAUCAGUGAGAAACAAGAAGGGAACCUACACCCUGAGCAGCCAGUUAACCCUGCCCGGGUCAGCGGUAGAUUGCCCCAGCAAAAUCUACUGUGAGGUUGAACACAGCGGGUCACACAAGAGCAAAGAAAUGCCAUGUCUAGGUACAGGUCCUCUCCCACCAACUCUUCUCCUAACUGUGAGCUCCAGUGAAGAAAUCGCAAGCAGCAAGUUUGCAACCAUUGUCUGUUCAAUCAUCGAUUUCCAUCCGAAGUCAAUCUCCGUGAGUUGGUUGAAAAAUGGCCGACUCUUGGAUUCUGGCUUCUUCACAUCUCCCGUGUGUGAGGCGAACGGGAACUUCUCGGUGACGAGUCGGCUGAAGGUCCCUUAUGGUGAAUGGUACAACAGCGCAGUCUAUACCUGCCAGGUCACUCAUGAAGACAACAUUCAAAGUAUAAACAUCACUGCACUCCAGGAAGAUACCGAGUGUCACCCUAACACCGUUAAAAUCCUCCUACCGCCAGUAGAACAAGUCUUACUGGAGGCGAUGGUGACGUUAACCUGCGUUGUGUCCAAUCUUCCUUCUGGAGUCAACGUGACCUGGAAACAAGAAAAGAAGCCUCUGAAAUCAGAGAUUGCUGACCAGCCUGGACAGAAUCCCGACAGCGUGAUCAGCAAAUUAGCCAUUUCUACUGAAGCCUGGCUGAGUGGCGUUACUUUUGAAUGUGUGGUGUACCAUCAGAAUCUACCGACUCCGCUGAGAGACUCCAUCCACAAGGAGAACGUGAUUAAUCCGCUGGAGCCAUCAGUGUCGGUCCUCCUGUCACCAACAGAAGAAAUCUCCGCUCAGAGGUUUCUCUCCCUCACCUGUUUAGUGAGAGGUUUCUCCCCCCGAGAGAUCUUCGUCAAGUGGACAAACAAUGACAAGCAGGUGAAUCCCAGUAACUACAAGAACACCGAGCCUGUUAUCCAUUACAGCGGAGGAGUGGGCUAG